rnacentral:tRNA from 1 species
GUGGGUAUAGUUCAGAGGUAGAGCACAUGCUUAGCAUGUUCAAAGUCCUGGGUUCAAUCCCAGUACCUGUA